rnacentral:rRNA from 1 species
UACAGAGGUCUCAAGCGUUGUUCGGAUUCAUUGGGCGUAAAGGGUGCGUAGGUGGCGCUGUAAGUCAGGUGUGAAAUUUCGGAGCUUAACUCCGAAACUGCAUUUGAUACUGCGGUGCUCGAGGACUGGAGAGGAGACUGGAAUUUACGGUGUAGCAGUGAAAUGCGUAGAGAUCGUAAGGAAGACCAGUGGCGAAGGCGGGUCUCUGGACAGUUCCUGACACUGAGGCAACGAAGGCCAGGGGAGCAAACGGG